rnacentral:rRNA from 1 species
AUACGGAGGGUGCAAGCGUUAUCCGGAUUUAUUGGGUUUAAAGGGUCCGUAGGCGGAUCUGUAAGUCAGUGGUGAAAUCUCAUAGCUUAACUAUGAAACUGCCAUUGAUACUGCAGGUCUUGAGUAAGGUAGAAGUAGCUGGAAUAAGUAGUGUAGCGGUGAAAUGCAUAGAUAUUACUUAGAACACCAAUUGCGAAGGCAGGUUACUAUGUCUUAACUGACGCUGAUGGACGAAAGCGUGGGGAGCGAACAGGAUUAGAAACCCCGGUAGUCC